UUUUUUUUUUCUAGCUAUCACCAUACCACCACCAUUACGCUAACUUGCUCUCAAUGAUACAAUAUUUUCCUAGUUAUGAAAUUAAUUACUUUUAUGUGUAUAUGAAAUACUGUCAAGCUCUCAUUAACCUUGUUUCUUUCAAGCAAAAUUUUCACUUCAACAGAAACCAGUACUAAUUUUGAUUGACAAUGAUGUGUAAUGAAUAUCAUCUGUAUAGAGGAUCUUCCAAUUAAGAAGAUUCAAAAAACUGAAUAAUUAUUUAGUUACUAAGUUAACCAAUGAUGUGUUAUUAUUGCCACACCGCAACCACCACUAUUUCAUCCAACAUUUAUAUUUUCUUUUUUUAAUUUUUCAAUUGAUAUAAAUCUUUAGUUAACAGUUAUUUUAUAGCAAGGGGCAUGAUUGUUCACUGUUCAAAAAUUCAUGUUUAAGAAAUUCAUCCAUGGUGGUUUUGAUUUAAGUCUUCAAUUCUAAUAGAAAUCAACAGUAACAUUUUUAAGAGGGAUGUUUGCCUUUGUGAAAUAAAAUAUUAAAUGCAUAUUUAUACUCCGAAAACUCCCAGGAGGUGAAUCCUAAAAUCAACCUUCCUAGAAGAUGUAGACUACAAUAUGCAGUGCUCAAAACAUAAGGCCUUCAAGAGUCAGCCAAUUCCCAUUUGGCAAAUUUUUUAGAUAGAAAUAUUUUAGGACAUAAACCACAAGUCAACCUUUUAAUACAAUGUGAGUGAUCUGAUGACUUAUUAUCAAAAUGCCUUGGUCUAUUUUUCUUGCUCUCACCCUUAAAGCAUGCUGACAAUGAAACUUGUUCAAAGAACCCUAAAAAGAAAAGGGAAAGGAAAAUGAAAAUUAAGAAUUCCCCUUAACCAAAGUCCAAAGAUACUGAAGCAAAAUAAACUAGAUUACAAAUUUACAAUAUGGAAAUGCAAAUUUCUAUGACAUCACACCUGUUUUGGAGUCCAUUCUGGGG
rnacentral:misc_RNA from 1 species